rnacentral:rRNA from 1 species
CUGGAUAAGCUUGGGAAACUGGGUCUAAUACCGGAUAGGAGCCAUCUUUAGUGUGGUGGUUGGAAAGUUUUUUCGGUGUAGGAUGAGCUCGCGGCCUAUCAGCUUGUUGGUGGGGUAAUGGCCUACCAAGGCGGCGACGGGUAGCCGGCCUGAGAGGGUGUACGGCCACAUUGGGACUGAGAUACGGCCCAG